rnacentral:pre_miRNA from 13 species
CUGAUGGUACGGUGCGACCGGAUGACGGUUCACAACGACCGUGCUUAUUUUUAACUGGUCGGUGGGACUUUCGUCCGUUUGUAACGCCAUUUGUCAGCGA